ensembl:lncRNA
CGUGAUUUGUGAACGCCUGGAGAUGGAGAAGUGGAGGCCAUCCGAAAAGGGAGCGAAUAAAUGAGACUUUGUAUGAGGUCCAUAGAGAUAACUCAAAGCGAGAGCGAGCCGGUGUUUUUCCAGCUGAAUAGAGUUCUGCCAGACAGCACUUUGCAGGCAGGUUUUGAUGUGAUGAAAACAUCUAUUCAGGAUUCUGAAAGCAUUGUGCCUGGGGAAGGUGAGCAGCACCAAGCCGUGCCCCUGCCCUUGCUCAGAUCCUGCAUUAUUUUGAGCAUCGAGGACUGCAAAGGGCUGAAAGUCACAGCUGUGAUUUGUUUUCCCCUUUCUUUCCACGUUGAGCAUCCUCGCUCACACAGCCGCCUGCAUCCUCAGCUACACCACACUCCCAACCCACAGGGAAUGAUACAGAAAGAUGCAGGGAAUAUUCCAGGGCUGGAAAUGAUGGCUCACACAGAGAUGGGCAGGGGGUGGCAGGUCCUCACAGCCCCCCCAGCUGACAUCUUCAGGGGGAGGUCGGGCACGGAAACAGCACAGCACAGCCAAAGUAUGCGGUGGUGCCGGCGGCCCAGCCCGCCCACCCUGGGGAACUGCCACAUGGGAACCUGCCCAGGUUAUGUCAUUCAUGACCAACCGAGUGUACGGGGGUGUGCUUGCUUCCUUCUGUCCAUCACAGAAGUCCCAGAAUAGGGGUUUCUCAUGGAACCUACUCUUCCUGAUGUCAAAACUGAUACGUGCAUGCAGCUCUGCC